CUCGCGUGUGUAUUCUAUGGCGGACGGUUCACAAAUAGUUAGAGAGUUGCGCAACUUAGCGAAUGAAGUCGAUAACAACGCAUCAAAUGAUUAUGUGUUGUUUAGAUUAGAUGUGCUUAUCGAUGUUUUAGAAGAGCUAUUUGCCGAUAUGGAUGUCGAAGUACAGCCUGAAGUUUUAGGCUAUUCCCAGCACAUUCAAUCUCUGUGCGAGUCAGAUUGUACUACGAUGGGACGUCCAUUGUACUUGCUUCCGAUAAGCACAAUUUAAACUUACCUCUCAAUGGGUCAAACUGCUGGAAACAUUGCAAAGUUGUUUGGUGUCAGUGAAAGAACUAUCCGGAAUAGGAUGGAGCAACAUGGUUUAAGAGUAAGCGACCUGUUUUCAGCUCUGGAGGACGCUGAACUGGAUGCUUUGGUAGAAGAUGUACUAAAGCUCACCCAAAUGCCGGAUAUAAACUGAUGGUUGGACAAAUCGGUGCACAGGGCUUCGAGUACAGAGGAAGGCGGGUUUUGUACUUUGACAUAUUAGCAUCCCUGGGGCGACGUGUUCAAGAAUCCAUGAGACGCGUGGAUCCUCAGGGUGUCCUUAUGUGUCUUCAACUGAACCCCCGGAGGCGUAGAAAAUACACAGUCCCUGCACCCAACAGUUUAUGGCACAUCAAUGGUAACCAUAAGUUAAUAAGGUAUGUUGACAACAGUAGAAUAUUAUUUAUCAUGUUCAUCUGGAUGUGUUUUCUAUUUCAGACUGAAUAGGAAAUGGUUGUACAGUUGAACAAAAGAAAAUUAAAGCAUGAAUGUGUAAUAGGAGGGAUGUGUGUUCAUAGUUUAAUUCAAUGCAGAUCAAGAUCACUUUAUCACAGUGAUUCUCAGCAUUUAAAUUUCAUAACUUACCAUGUAGACCGCAAGUGUGAAUUUGUUGGGGUAAGUUUGGAAGAACUUUGUGAUAAGAUGGCAAUCAGACCUGUCCUCUCCAGCCAAAAUCCUCAAUACACUGUUCUAAAAUGUAUAGCUGAAUGUUGUUUUUCACAAGAAGGAUCUUUCUCGUGAACCUAAAUUUCCAACUGUUAUGAAAUAUUAAUAUUCAUCCAGCAAGAUCAUAUAAUAAGUAAUUGGAUAAUGUCAUGUGAUGCCAUUGUGUGUGUGUGUGUGUGUGUGUGUGAGGCUAAGGAACUGAGGAACGUGCUUGGAUGAGUGGUGAAACAUUAAUCAGCAGAGAAACAUCCAUUUGACUAUUUUGAGAAUUUUGAUAGACAUUGUUGGUGUAAUUAUACGAGCAGAUCUUUCUGAUUGUGUUGUUAAAGGUCCAGUAGGGAUUUCUGAGAAAGACUGUUGAUAUUUGAAAUCACCGAAGCAAAUGUCCCUACCUAAAAGGAUAACACCCCUAUUUUGAUAGCUCUGCCUCCAAAUUCGUGAAGACCCCUAUGUUAUGCGACACAGGCACCUCUCCCAUCAUGAGAGAAGAGUGAGAAGCAGAUUCUCUCCUUCAACAUCUCUGAACCAACUGACGAUGUUCACCUGGAGACUAUUCAAACGUUCAGUUAAUCUAGUCUAAUGUUAUAAUCUUUAUUAAAUCAAAUUUUGGUAAAACAUCUUAAUAAAGAAAUAUUGUCUAUUUCACAGGUGUUCAUAUUAUUUUGUCCAACCCCUGUAUGUAAAAGGUAUCGUCUUAAGUAUGUGAUAUAAUGUUUUGGCUGUUUUGAUUUACUAUAGAAAGUAGAACGUGUUUUAUAUCAUUACUCAAAAGCCUAGUUGUUAAUAUUGUUGAAAUUAAUUUUCUUAUAUC